rnacentral:lncRNA from 1 species
ACAAGAAGGGGAGACCACUGGAGUGGGGGGGGAGCGGAGUGUGCUUCUAAGCAUCCAGAUGCCGAGGGCACCCCAAUCUGUGCUUGGGCCUGGGGGAGGAGGACACUGUGUCCCUGUGGGUCACACAGAAGCUCAAAUAAAGGCCAAAAGCUAGGAAGUGAUGUGGGGCUCAGGGGCUUGGAACCAACUCUGCUGCCUGAGACUUCACUUUUGUCAGCCUAUGGAAGCAGGAUGGGAGGGAGGAGGGAGGGCAGGAGAGAGGAGGGAGGACAGGAGGGAGGAGGGAGGAGCU